AUGGAGACACUCCAUCGGUUUUCUCACGGCGACGAACCAAACGGAAAAUCGGAGAUAACAUUCCUAAUGCUCUGGUACAAUUCUUCUUCAACGUUUUCGUUCCAGGUGAUGUGUACUUUCUCCAUUUUUCUUCACUUAUUCGUUAACCUUUCUUCCAUUUCUUCCGAUAGUGCUGAUGAGAAAACACAAUGA